UACGAAGGGUGCAAACGUUGCUCGGAAUUAUUGGGCGUAAAGCGCACGUAGGCGGCUUGGCAAGUCGGAUGUGAAAUCCCUCGGCUCAACCAAGGAAGUGCAUCCGAAACUGCUGAGCUUGAGUACGAAAGAGGAUCGCGGAAUUCCCGGUGUAGAGGUGAAAUUCGUAGAUAUCGGGAGGAACACCAGUGGCGAAGGCGGCGACCUGGUCCAUUAUUGACGCUGAGGCGCGACAGCGUGGGGAGCAAACAGG
rnacentral:rRNA from 1 species